AUUGAACGCUGGCGGCAUGCCUAACACAUGCAAGUCGAACGAGUGGCGGACGGGUGAGUAAUGUCUGGGAAACUGCCCGAUGGAGGGGGAUAACUACUGGAAACGGUAGCUAAUACCGCAUACCUUCGGAUGUUCCCAGAUGGGCGUAGCUAGUAGGUGGGGUAACGGCUCACCUAGGCGACGAUCCCGAGCUGGUCUGUGAGGAUGACCAGCUGCACUGGAACUUAGACACGGUCCAGACUCCUACGCGAGGCAGCAGUGGGGAAUAUUGCACAAUUGGCGCAAGCCUGAUGCAGCCAUGCCGCGUGUAUGAAGAUGGCCUUCGGGUUGUAGAGUACUUUCAGCGAGGAGCCGUUACUCGCAGAAGAAGCACCGGCUAACUCCGUGCCAGCCGCCGCGGUAAUUC
rnacentral:rRNA from 1 species